UAUGACUCUUCAUUCAGCGGACAGAUGUGGAGAAGAACAGAGCUCUUGGCAGGAGAAGAAGAACAGCUGGCUGCUGGAAGUUUGAGUCUCAGGGAUGUGAGAGCAGAUUUUUGCAGCGGGCGAUUGGAUAAAGCAUCCGGUCACUGGAGCUGACAGCAUAUGAAGAAAUGAUGUCACACUGAAUCUUGAAGGAUUUCUGCUAAUGGGCUCAUCUCACACAUGAUAAGUCAGCACACGGUCCCCUCGGCCCCGCCGCAUUCAGAUUCCCCGCUGCACACCGCUGGAAUCAUCCGCAGCACAGCGUGUCAACCACACACUGUUCUGGAAACAGUCGCGGGAAGCACAAGUUUCACUGAUGAAAGACAGCUUGGAAUGUCAGGCCCGCGGGAU